UAAGACAUGCAAGUCGAACGAAGCGGCCCGAUGACAUGGAGUGCUUGCACAAAGUAGAUUCGGAUUUCCGCUUAGUGCGCAAGGGUNAGUAACACGUGGAUAAUCUACCUCAGAGACUGGGAUAACAGUUGGAAACGAUUGCUAAUACCAGAUGAUAUGUAAGAAGAUACGUUUUCUUAAAUUAAAGGAGCCUUUAAAGCUUCGCUUUGAGAUGAGCCUGCGGCGUAUUAGCUAGUUGGUAGGGUAAUGGCCUACCAAGGCAACGAUGCGUAGCCGACCUGAGAGGGUGAUCGGCCACAUUGGGACUGAGACACGGCCCAAACUCCUACGGGAGACAGCAGUUAGGGAUAUUCGUCAAUGGGGGGAACCCUGAACGAGCAAUGCCGCGUGAGUGAUGACGGUCCUUUGGAUUGUAAAACUCUGUUGUUAGGGAAGAACGACCUGUAUAGGAAAUGAUACAGGAGUGACGGUACCUUUCAAGAAAGCUCCGGCUAACUACGUG
rnacentral:rRNA from 1 species